rfam:Thioalkalivibrio sp. K90mix, complete genome.
GCGCCCGUAGCUCAGCUGGAUAGAGUACCUGGCUACGAACCAGGUGGUCGGAGGUUCGAAUCCUUCCGGGCGCG